CAUAGGUUAAUGAGGCGAACCGGGGGAACUGAAACAUCUAAGUACCCCGAGGAAAAGAAAUCAACCGAGAUUCCCCCAGUAGCGGCGAGCGAACGGGGAGCAGCCCAGAGCCUGAAUCAGUGUGUGUGUUAGUGGAAGCGUCUGGAAAGGCGCGCGAUACAGGGUGACAGCCCCGUACACAAAAAUGCACAUACUGUGAGCUCGAUGAGUAGGGCGGGACACGUGGUAUCCUGUCUGAAUAUGGGGGGACCAUCCUCCAAGGCUAAAUACUCCUGACUGACCGAUAGUGAACCAGUACCGUGAGGGAAAGGCGAAAAGAACCCCGGCGAGGGGAGUGAAAAAGAACCUGAAACCGUGUACGUACAAGCAGUGGGAGCCUCUUUAUGGGGUGACUGCGUACCUUUUGUAUAAUGGGUCAGCGACUUAUAUUCUGUAGCAAGGUUAACCGAAUAGGGGAGCCGAAGGGAAACCGAGUCUUAACUGGGCGUUAAGUUGCAGGGUAUAGACCCGAAACCCGGUGAUCUAGCCAUGGGCAGGUUGAAGGUUGGGUAACACUAACUGGAGGACCGAACCGACUAAUGUUGAAAAAUUAGCGGAUGACUUGUGGCUGGGGGUGAAAGGCCAAUCAAACCGGGAGAUAGCUGGUUCUCCCCGAAAGCUAUUUAGGUAGCGCCUCGUGAAUUCAUCUCCGGGGGUAGAGCACUGUUUCGGCAAGGGGGUCAUCCCGACUUACCAACCCGAUGCAAACUGCGAAUACCGGAGAAUGUUAUCACGGGAGACACACGGCGGGUGCUAACGUCCGUCGUGAAGAGGGAAACAACCCAGACCGCCAGCUAAGGUCCCAAAGUCAUGGUUAAGUGGGAAACGAUGUGGGAAGGCCCAGACAGCCAGGAUGUUGGCUUAGAAGCAGCCAUCAUUUAAAGAAAGCGUAAUAGCUCACUGGUCGAGUCGGCCUGCGCGGAAGAUGUAACGGGGCUAAACCAUGCACCGAAGCUGCGGCAGCGACACUAUGUGUUGUUGGGUAGGGGAGCGUUCUGUAAGCCUGUGAAGGUG
rnacentral:rRNA from 1 species